AACCUGCCUCACACAGGGGGAUAACAGUUAGAAAUGACUGCUAAUACCGCAUAAGCGCACGGUACCGCAUGGUACAGUGUGAAAAACCCCGGUGGUGUGAGAUGGAUCCGCGUCUGAUUAGGUAGUUGGUGAGGUAACGGCCCACCAAGCCGACGAUCAGUAGCCGACCUGAGAGGGUGACCGGCCACAUUGGGACUGAGACACGGCCCAAACUCCUACGGGAGGCAGCAGUGGGGAAUAUUGCACAAUGGGCGAAAGCCUGAUGCAGCAACGCCGCGUGAGUGAAGAAGUAUCUCGGUAUGUAAAGCUCUAUCAGCAGGGAAGAAAAUGACGGUACCUGACUAAGAAGCCCCGGCUAACUACGUGCCAGCAGCCGCGGUAAUACGUAGGGGGCAAGCGUUAUCCGGAUUUACUGGGUGUAAAGGGAGCGCAGACGGCACUGCAAGUCUGAAGUGAAAGCCCGGGGCUCAACCCCGGGACUGCUUUGGAAACUGUAGAGCUAGAGUGCUGGAGAGGCAAGCGGAAUUCCUAGUGUAGCGGCGAAAUGCGUAGAUAUUAUGAAGAACACCAGUGGCGAAGGCGGCUUGCUGGACAGUAACUGA
rnacentral:rRNA from 1 species